rnacentral:lncRNA from 1 species
GGAACUCUAUAUAUACCAAUAGAUUUGAUAGGAAGAAGAAAAAAAAAAGGAAACCUAGAGAUAAAAAUAGCUAAGCGGCGCAGCAGAAACUCCAGAAAACAAAAAAUAGUUGCACCUCUUUCUUUUUCCCCUUCAACUCAUCAUCAUCUUCAACCCACAAAAUAUCCAUGAAAACCACCAUCUUUCCUCCAUAAAACCCACUUGAAAAUAGCCUUUUAAACCUAGCAAAAACCACUCAAAAACAAGCGCAAAUCCAUCGUCAAACUCUAAGAAAAACUGUCCAAAACCCAGCAUUAAACUACAACCAAAUCAGCACCGAAAAUGCCCCAAAAUCCAUCUCCAAAGUGACUCAAAAUGUCACCCGAACCACCCCCAAAACUCAGCAAAAUCAGCCCCAAAAAUCAUCCGCAAAGCAGCUCCAAAGAGCAGCCAAAUCAGCUGAGAAAUUACUGGUAAAAAAACCUGUCCAAAACCCCCCAGAAAAGCUGUCCAAAAUUAGUGCCAAAAAUAUGACGAAAAACCGUCUGAAGCCAGCCACAAGCCUCCAUCAAAAUUACCACUUUAUACUCGAAAUAGUUGUCCAAAUCUAUUCGAGUCGGUAUCAUUUUCGUGUAGAUCUUGGUUUGAGUUCGCCAUUGAAGUUACGGUCGAUUGGUUCUAUAGCAUUUGAAGGUCCCUGUUUUGCUCUUGCUUCGGUCAAAUUGUAGUUGUUGUUUCCUUGUAUUUUGACAUUGGCAGCGGUGCUUCAAUGUAAAGGAAGUUUCCAGUAAUAAAGUCCAAUAUUUAAACUUAUGUUAUCUCAAUUUUGUCCUGCUAGCAUAAUGAAUGAUUCUGGUUAUUUGUUGCUAUUCCAUGUUAUCUUGUCUUUCGUAGUAGUCUUAAUUAGCUGGUCUUUUGUCUUAAGCUAUGACUUGAUUUGUGAGAUUCAUGCUCAGCUCAUUAUUUACAACUUAAUAUCUGUUAUAUGUUGAUUUGCUAUCUCCCCUUGGUAUAGUUAAUACAUUAGCAUCAUGGUUCAUUAAAGAAGCUACUGUUUGAAUUCAUGGGAAGUGUAGGACAGUUAAUCGUGUUGGGUUUUUGUAAUUCACGGGUUUAUGGUAAUUGAUUUAAUUUUGGGCUUUACUUUAUCCUUACCCUUUAAUAUUCGGGUCAUUAGCACUUGGUUUGAGAUAAGCGAUUUGGCCUAUUUUACAUAACUGAUAAUUGCUAGAUUAGUCUAAAUAGCUUAAUAAACUUCAUGUAUUCCAAACACCUCCAAUUUCAUAAGUCAUGGCCUUACAACAACCUUAAAACUAGUUUAGGAAAAUAAUCACACAACUGCAGUUUGCUUUAGGCGCGGUUAAUAAAUCAUUGUGGCCAUGUGUACGGUUCCCGUAGCAUGGUCACGAUACAUAUUUUCCAAUUCAGGUGUGCAUUUUAUAUGACCCGACCACAACUUAAAACAAUAUAAAAAUAAAUAUGUUGUAAAUCGCGGGUGCAUUUCAUGUGGCGCAGUUUGCACUAUGUACCAAAGACAAGUGUACGACAUCGUGACUUGUUCCAAAAAUAAUUCCAUAAAUAAAUAAAAGCAGUUAUAGAGUUAAAAAUACACACACAUUUAAAAUAUGUAAUAAAUCAGAUAAUUAGGCCAAUUAUCAAUAGUUGAGCGACCGUGCUAAAACUACGGAAUCCGGGAGUGCCUCACACCUUCUCCCGGUUUAACAGAAUUCCUUACCGAUCCUCUGUGUUCGCGGACCAAAACUAGAGUCAAUUUCCUCGAUUUGGGAUUUAAAAUAAAUCGGUGACUUGGGACACCAUAAACUAUUCCAAGUGGCGACUCUAAAAAAUUAAAUAAAUAAUCUCAUUUCGAUUAAUGUCACUUUAAUUGGAAAAACUUUCCUAUACCCGUCAGAAAAAAGGAGGUGUGACAGCUCUGGCGACUCUGCUGGGGAAACAAACCUAGAACUUAUGGUUUAGAGUUCAGAAUUCGAGCUUAGAAUAACUGUUAUAGUUGGCUUUUAUUUAUUAUCUAAUUUUUUUUACGUGUUUUAGCUUGAUGUGCUAAAUGCCACUUUUUACCGCUUUGAUAUUAUAUGAACUGUAUAUAAACUAUUACAAAAUCCUUCUUCUCUCUGAGUCUUCUAAAUCUUCUGGGAAGUGCACACUGGCGUGACUUCUUUUCUGUUAGAGUCAUACCCUAAUUUAGAACGAGGAUCAGAUCAGUUACAAAGCCGGAUGGCCUUUUGGUUAUCGGUACGUUGCCCCUUUCCCCCCCCCCCCCCUCCCCGGCUCGAGUUGUCUACUCGGGUAAGCCAGGAGAAUAAUACACCCAGGUUUUAAACCUAGAAUAACAUAGCCUCAUGCCGGAUUCCUAGUAGGAACGCUUGCAUUUGACUUUGGGGACUCAACACAGGGUUUGGUUCCGUCUAGGACAGGUGUAACCGAAAUAAAAAGACCAUCCUGAUGCAUCUUACGUGCUACUUGCGCAUCUGUUUGUUUUGGCUUACGUGCUGACUGGCUUUUAGAAUGGGAAAAGAAAAAUAAAAAAAUAGAGAAAAUAAUAAAUAAAAACAAGAGUGAGAGGUAGGUAUUAAAAAAAUCAAAACUCUGCCGAAAUUUUGAAGAAAAUAAAAGAGAAAGAAAAUAAGAUAAUGUUUUCAAAAGAUCAUGUUUCCCUUGUUCCGUCAAAACAGACUGAACUACGCGGGUCUAAUUCUCAUCGGAUGUGAGAUACGUAGGCAAACUUUAUCGGUUCCAGCCCCAAUUUCUAAAAAUUCAAAAAUAUUUUCCUUUAAUUCCUUCAUUAGAAGCAUUUCCUUAGAAAAUUCAAAAGAAAAAGAUUUUUAAACUCAAAAAAAAUAGUUUUCUUCUUUCUGAAGUCUUUCAUACGGAAAAAAAAAAACAACAAAAUCCAAAAUACAGAUUUCCUUUAUUUUAAAGUAUUUUUCCCAAAAAUUCAAAAAAAAAUCAAAAAAAAAGAAUCCAAAAAAUAUUCUUAUCCUUCUUUAAAAAUCUUUCUUUCGUAAAUAUCAUAAAAUAAUUGAAACGUUGAAGUCCAAAAAUAUUUUUGUUUUUCUUUAGAAGUACUUUUGUAAUAAAAAAAAACUCAGAAAUCCAAAAUAUUUUCUUAGCCCCUCUUUCGAAAAUUAAGAGGCAACAUCCAAAAUUCAAAAACAUUUUCUUUCUUCUUUAGAAAAAGAGAAAACAAAUGAAAAUUCAAAAAAUAAUCUUUUUACUUUUGAAAUUCCCAAAGUUCAAAUCAAAGAAAAGGAAUUUUUAGAAGUCUUUCUUUCAAAAAAAAAAUCAAAAUUAAAAAUCCAAAAAAUAUUUCUUUUUUUAUUUUAAAGCAUUUUUUUUAAAACUCCAAAAUAAAUACAAAAAAAAUCAAAAAAAUAUAUAUGUUUUUCUUUUUCUUAAAGCUUUCAUGGUCCGAGUUUUAUAAAAAGUAAACAAAAAAAGUGAGUUAGUUUAAUUACUCUAUUCUCGAUCUUCCUGAACUAUGCAAGAUCUUAUUCAUGCUGCAUCAUGAUACUUAGGCAAUCCCCAUCGGAUUCGAUCAUAGCUAUAAAAUAAAUUGAGUGAAAAAUAAACUAAAAAAAUUGAGUGAAGAAGAAAGAAAUGAGUGAAAAAAAAGGAAUGACAAAACAAAAAGAGAACAAGAGAGUGCCAAAUAUAAAAGAGCGACAGAAACAAAAGGAAAAAAAUCAAAAGUGAUUAAAGAGAGGUAGAAAUAAAAGAAAAGAGGUACAUACUGAAAGGAUUAGUUGAGGCCGGGAUGAAACAUGCAACCGUUAGUUAAGGCCCGGAUGAAACAUGCAACCGUUCAAACACAUGGUAGAAGCAUUUAACUGUUAGGUGCAUUGCAUCCCAACUUGCGAUUUCCUAUAUGCUAAAUGUUUCAAAACUAACAAGGUUGUUGGGUGUGCAAAUUAGCCAGGUUCUGUUCAGGUGGUUAGUUUUGUUGAUAAUCUGGCUUUCCAUCCUUACUUCACAAGAUCCAAAGGCAUGGUUCCUAUGGCCUCGGUCCCACCAUACUAUUAUCCCUUUCAAGAUGUUGCUUAUGUUGUGGCACUGCCUCCCUACGCGGUGAUGAGCAUGCAACCUUACAUGCGGCCACAACAUUAUACACAAAAACAAGAUCCACCUCCCAGAAAUGCCCAUCCUUGCCAAGCUUCAAAUAAUCCCAACCAAAUGUCCCCCAGUACAACCCCCCUCCCCCCAAGAGAGCCUUUCAGAAAGAAUCAGUUCACCCCUAUUGGUGAAUCAUAUUCGGGCUUGUUCCAAAAGCUAGUCAGGCGAGGUCUGCUGUAGCCAGUGGCCCCAAACCAGCCAAACCCCGAGUCUCCCUCACACCAAGCGAUGCCAUAUGUGAAUACCACUCCGCAAUGGGACACAGUACAGAGGGCUGUUGGACCCUCAAAAGGGCAAUUGAAGACUUAAUCGAAGCUGAAAUAAUCGUUCUUCGGGACGAAAAAGGCUCCUAAUGGACAAAUAAUCCAUUGCUUGCUCACAACACCAGGCCAAUAGUCGGAAUGAUUCGUGAAAAGAGGAAUUUGAUCCAGCACUAAAGGCCAUUGCAGCCAUUGUCGAGACAGAAGAAAAUCCAAAAAGCGAUCGACAAGCUUGAAAGUUCCCCAUCAGAUGGGAGUCUCGAUAGCCAGUCUUGCUAUAUUUUCUGCGUUCGGAUUAUCUCAGGGUGUGAUCCGGAUGUUUCACUUUCCGAUGUAAACCCUUAUAUCUUUAAAAUUCAAAAAAAAUCAAAUAAAAAAGAAAUCAUUUCAUUACCUAGGAAUGUCUCUUUUCUUAUUGUAACUUUUCUUAUUCUCUUUUUAAUUCUGUUAAAUGCAGAUUUCAAUAACAUGACAUGCUUGCGGACUUCAUGCCCAGAUCCUAAAACGCUGUCAGACCUCGAAAUAAUGAAUCAAAAAAUAGAUUGUAAUGAAGAUAAGUUUUAGGAAAUAAAACAAAGAGUUGGAACAACUAAAGAAAAAUUGGCUCCAGAUUGUAAAGAUCCAUACAUGGUAACAAGGGUACUUCCAAAAAGAGCGUUGUACCUGGGAAACAUCCAAAGAAAUGUCCCUAAAACAACUACCAAUGUAGGUUCAGUCAAAAGGUACUAUGUUUGAUCCUCUAUAUAGUAUUAACGCUCCGAUUGGGAUGAAGAAGGCUUUUAUUUUCGCUAACUAAAUACCAUUAACCCUUUUUUAAUCUCUUUGAGCCGGUUCCCUUUCUUUGAUUACCCUCUUUGGAAUCUGAAAGUGUUAUUGAAAAAAAAUGAAAGAAUGAAAUGAAAAAUGAAAAACAAAAUGAAAAAAGAGAAGAAAAAGAAAGAUACAAAAAAGGGAAGAAAAGGCAAAAAGAAAAUGAAAUGAAAAAUGAAAAAAAAAAGAGGAAAAAGGAAAGGAAAAAGAAAGAGAAAACAAAAGAAAAUAGAAAAACAAAAGAAAAAAAACAAAGUUCCUUGAACUUGUUCAACUUGAUUCCAAAAGGAUACGUAGGCAGACUCUCUCUGGGGUUCAGUCACACCAAAAUAAAAAUCCAAAUUCCUCUAAUUUGAAACUGGGGCAGAAGUUAUAAUGGUUUGACGAUGGUUUCGCCCGAAAGGUUCCAAAGUCAUAACUCUAUCCAAAUCCUUUUUACCCAAACCUUAUUCAAGUCCUUCUGAUCAAUCGGCAAAGAUGUUCAAAAUGGGAGGAUACAGUUACUUGGAUCUGACACAACAAAAUGAGAGAAUUAAAAUGAAAGUCUUAUCGGUGAAAACUCUCACGGGCAACAUAAGGUGAUGGUAAGCAGAGAAAUGGAAAAUAAGAGAGUCUUGUUAGUGAAAACUCGCAAAGAGCACUAUAAUACGAUGGUGAGAAGAGAAAUAAGAGUGGUCAGAUAGUGAAAACCCGCAAAGGGCACCACUGAUCAAAAAAGAGGAUAUUCGGUCACUGACAUUGACACAGUCCUGGGCAUGGUUUCUCGAUUUCGAGGCAAAAGUUGUGAUGAAUUUCUGAGAGUCAGACGGUUUGCACGGAUCAGGCAUCCAGUCCAAAAGGCGUGUCAUAUUCGUUGAAGUCCGCAUGUACUCUAGAUAAGUCCUUCUUUCCUUUCCUCAAAAGGGACGUCUUGUAUAAAUUCAUUUGUCCAUUCCAUUGUUUAUUUUUCCUUUGAAUCCCUUUCGGUCUAACUCUAUUUUGAAACUGAGACAAAGAAGGUUUACAGGGUUCUCAUUUGAUACAAGCUAAUAUGCAAAAAAGACACCCAGCCUCGUCAGGGGCAUCAAGUCGACCUCGACCGGCCAUGACGGCCAAUGCUUCGAAAUCAAAUCGAAGUGCCUAUAAAGGUAAAUGAAGUUGAAAAGGUUAAGUUCCACGUGGCUAAUAGUCUCGGCAAAAAUUUGAAAAAGCCAAGGGAUCCCAAAUGCUCUGAAACUAAAGUUGGAAUAAAGAAGCCAAAAAUGAAAGGCCUAUGAAGGCGAAAUAAAGUUGGAAAAGAUUAAGUCCUACGCGACUAGCCGUCGCGACAAAGUUUGAGGAGCCAAAAGUUCCUCAAUGCUCCGAAGUUUUAAAAAAACAACAAGUCAGAAGGGAAGGGCCUAUAGAAGCAAAAUAAAGUCAAAAAGGUUGAGUCCCAUCGACCAAUCGUCAUGCAAAUUGUGGAAAAGCUAGAGUUUCUACAGGGUCAGAAAUGCAAUCGGUAUUCAGGAAACAAUCAAGCCGAGAUCAAGUGGUUAAAAUAAUCAAGGCCACAAAACCAACCACCGUUUUAAACUGACAAAUUGUUUUUUGUUUGAAAAAUAAGAAACAGGUGCAAUGCACAAGCAAACUUGCAAGAAGCAGGUGCUACCAAAAAGAAACUGCGCAAGAGCUAAAAAACAGCUUUGCAGCAACAACUCCAAAAAGGGAAGUCUCCUCCAAAAUUCUUUCCGGCAUUUACUCAUUCUAUGAAAUAAAAAAAAUAAGAAAAAAAACGAUGAUGAAAAUAAAUAAAGAAAAAAAAAGAAGAAGAGAAACUCAAAAUCAUAGUAGUAUAGGGUCUCCAAUUCCUAGCUGUGUCUUUUCCAAAAUAGGGUCCCACUUCCUAGUUGAUGCGGGCAUAACCCGAUGACUUUUCCAACAUAGAGUCUCACUCCCUAGUUGAUGCCGGCAUAACCCCAUGACUUUUUCAACAUAGGGUCCCACUCCCUAGUUGAUGUCGGCAUAACCCCAUGACUUUUCCAACAUAGGGUCUCACUCCCUAGUUGAUGUCGGCAUAACCCGAUGCCAGCAAAACCUAAUGCCAACAUAGGGUAACCACUCCCUAGUUGAUGCCAGCAUAACCUGAUGCCCACAUAGGGUCACCAUUCCCUAGUUGAUGCCGACAUAGGGUCUCCACUCCCUAGUUGAUGUCAGCAUAACCUGAUGCCAACAUAGGGUCACCACUCCCUAGUUGAUGAUUUUCCAACAAUAGAGUUUCCAAUCCCUAGUUGAUUUUAUUUUAGAUAUAUGGGUCUCCACUCCUUAAUAUCUUUUUCCCAAGGAUACACAAUCUCGACAUUUUAUUUGCUUUUAAUAAUGAAGUAGUAUAGAGUUUUGCUACCAAUAACUCACGAAAGUUUCCUAGUGAAAACUGGGGCAGAAAUAUUUUGUUCGUUUGUUUGUUUGGGUGCCUGAGCAGGUUUUACCUCGAGGCACGGGUUCGAGACGACUAAAAGAAGAAGUCUCAAUCCAAAAUAAAAGAAAAAGAAGAAAAGAAAUGAAGUGAACACAAUUCAGAAGCGGAGAAAAGAUGUGGACUGCUCAAGAAAUGAUUAAUAUCACAAGCUUUGCAUGUCACGCCUUGAUCCGAGAAGCUGAAAAGAAUGAACCAGCACCUAUAGCUAACAAGCAUCAAGAUUCGGAUCAGAGUCUACGUGAAGAACGAGCUAAGACUCAAGAUCAAGCUUCAAAAGACUCAUAGAUAGGAAUCCUGUAACUUGUAGCUGAUAGGCUUAGUUAGUUUUUUUCAUUUUGACUUUGAUGUAAUAGCAGGACCACGGACCGGAUCCUCGACGGGACCUCACUCGACACUCGAACUUGGCAUUCCAUCAUUCUCCUUGAACUACACGCGACCUGAUUCUCAUAUGACCCAGGAUAUGUAGGUUGUCCAAAACAAGGACUCGGUUGCACUCUUUUCUUUUAGUUUCUUCCCUUUUAAUAAUAAAAAAUAAAUAAUGGUUUGGUCAAAAAUUAGUCAUAUCGCUCAUCUUUUCUUUGCCUGAAAACUCUUCAUGUUUCCAAGCAACGAGGGGCAUGCUGUAAGCACCUAAUUUUUGACCAUAUUUUAAUUUUUCACCACUUUUUCGUAUGUAAAUAUUUUUUAAGUUUAACCUACGCAUUUUAGCUCUUGUUUUACCUUUUUAUAGGUUUUACUUAGAAAUUGAAAAUGAUGAAAAAGAGUCACAUUUUUUUGAUAAAUUUUGUUUUCAUUUACAAAAGAAAAAGAACAAAUUAAAAUUUUGUUAAGACUACUAAUAUGAAAUUUUCUUUAGUAGAUUUCUGUAUUUUUCUAGUCUAAACGUAUUAAUGUAGUAUUUUGAUUUUAGAUUAUCUUGAAAAGAAAGAAUUAAUAAAAAAUGAUGAUACAAUUAGGUUCUGCCACUUAAAAUAACUAGCAAGAUUCUAUUAGACCAUGAUCAUAUUUUGUCUUGAUUCUCGUGGACACACUCACAUUUUUCUUUUAUAUAUUUUUCCUCCUCACAUGUUACACUACACUUUUCAUUUCUUAAUUUACUAAGCUCACGUACUAACAGUUAAUUCAAUUGGAGUCACUCACCUCACGCGCACUCAUGCUACAAUGCUAGGAGUCCAUAUUUUGUUCUUAUCUUUUUUGGUAUCUAACAAAUUGUGAGCGCCACAGGAUCUUCCACCCACUUUCUCCACACAUAUCCAUUGCACAUAAUAUUCCCUCCAGCUCAUAUAACUCUGGCCCCAAAAAAAAUCUUGAGGGCACUCUAUAUAUAUCAACAGAUUUGAUAGAAAGAAGAAGAAAAAAAAAGGAAACCUAGAGAUAAAAAUAGCUAAGCGGCGCAGCAGAAACUCCAGAAAACAAAAAAUAGUUGCACCUCUUUCUUUUUUCCCUUCAACCCAUCAUCAUCUUCAACCCACAAAAUAUCCAUGAAAACCACCAUCUUUCCUCCAUAAAACCCACUUAAAAACAGCCUUUUAAACCUAACAAAAUCCACUCAAAUCCAUCGUCAAACUCCAAGAAAAACUGUCCAAAAAUAAAAUUAAACUACAACCAAAUCAAACCCGAAAACGCCCCAAAAUCUAGCUCCAAAGUGACCCAAAACGUCACCCAAACCACCCCCGAAACCACCUCAAAACAGGCCCCCAAAACUCAGUAAAAUUAGCCCCAAAAAUCAUCCACAAAACAGCUCCAAAGAGCAGCCAAAUCAGCUGCGAAAUUGCUGAAAAAAACCAGUCCAAAACCCCCAGAAAAGUUGUCCCAAAAUCAGUGCCAAAAAUCUGACAAAACACCAUCCGAAACCAGCCACAAGCCUCCAUCGAAAUGACCCCUUUAUACUCGAAAUAGUUGUCCAAAUCUAGUCGAGUCAGUAUCAUUUUCGUGUAGAUCUUGUUUUGAGAUCGCCAUCGAAGUUAUGGUCGAUUGAUUCUAUAACAUUUGAAGGUCCUUGUUUUGCUCUUGCUUCGGUCAAAUUGUAGUUGUUGUUUCCUUGUAUUUUGACAUUGGCAGCGGUGCUUCAAUGUAAAGGAAGUUUCCAGCAAUAAGGUCCAAUAUUUAAACUUAUGUUAUCUCAAUUUGGUCUUGCUAGCAUAGUCAAUGAUUCUGGUUAUUUGUUGCUAUUCCAUAUUAUCUUGUCUUUCGUAGUAGUCUUAAUUACCUAGACUUUUGUCUUAAGCUAUGACUUGAUUUGUGAGAUUCAUGCUCAGCUCAUUAUUUACAACUUAAUAUCUGUUGUAUGUUGAUUUGCUAUUUCCCCUCGGUAUAGUUAAUGCAUUGGCGUCAUGGUUGAUUAAAGAAACUAUUAUUUGAAUUCAUGGGAAGUGUAGGAUAGUUAAUCGUGUUGGGUUUUUGUAAAUUUUCGGGUUUAUGGUAAUUGAUGUAAUUUUGGGCUUUACUUUAUCCUUACCCUUUAGUAUUCGGGUCAUUAGCACUUGGUUUGAGAUAA